ensembl:snRNA U6 U6 spliceosomal RNA
GUGCUCACUUCGGAAGCACAUAUACUAAAAUUGGAAUGAUACAGAGAAGAUUAGCAUGGCCCCUGUGCAAGGAUGACAUGCAAAAUCGUGACGCAUUCUAUAUUUUU